GGAAUCUUCGGCAAUGGGGGCAACCCUGACCGAGCAACGCCGCGUGAGUGAAGAAGGUUCUCGGAUCGUAAAGCUCUGUUGUAAGAGAAGAACGUGUGUGAGAGUGGAAAGUUCACACAGUGACGGUAACUUACCAGAAAGGGACGGCUAACUACGUGCCAA
rnacentral:rRNA from 1 species